AAAGAUAUAGCAUAUUCUUCUGAAUAUACUUUAUUAACCCAUUCCGAGUACCUUACCCGUUGCUUCCGCGAGGCUGUCCUCACGGCCCUCUGAAGAUUUAUCUUUGGGGAGUCCUUGCGGAAGGUAUACAAUAACUCUUGCAUUACCAUGUCAUCUGUCUGAGUCUGUUUAAAACAAAUAUUA
rnacentral:misc_RNA from 1 species